GACGAACGCUGGCGGCGUGCUUAACACAUGCAAGUCGAACGGUAAGGCCCUUCGGGGUACACGAGUGGCGAACGGGUGAGUAACACGUGGGUGAUCUGCCCUGCACUUCGGGAUAAGCCCGGGAAACUGGGUCUCAUACCGGAUAGGACUCCUGGCUUCAUGGUUGGGGGUGGAAAGCUUUUUCGGUGUGGGAUGGGACCGCGGCCUAUCAGCUUGUGGGUGGGGUAAUGGCCUACCAAGGCGACGACGGGUAGCCGGCCUGAGAGGGUGACCGGUCACACUGGGACUGAGAUACGGCCCAGACCCCUAUGGGAGGCAGCAGUGGGGAAUAUUGCACAAUGGGCGCAAGCCUGAUGCAGCGACGCCGCGUGAGGGAUGACGGCCUUCGGGUUGUAAACCUCUUUCAGCUAUGACGAAGCGCAAGUGACGGUAGUAGCAGAAGAAGGACCGGCCAACUACGUGCCAGCAGCCGCCGUAACAC
rnacentral:rRNA from 1 species